rnacentral:rRNA from 1 species
AUUGAACGCUGGCGGCAUGCCUUACACAUGCAAGUCGAACGGCAGCACGGGAGCUUGCCCCUGGUGGCGAGUGGCGAACGGGUGAGUAAUACAUCGGAACGUACCCUGAAGUGGGGGAUAACGUAGCGAAAGUUACGCUAAUACCGCAUAUUCUGUGAGCAGGAAAGAGGGGGAUCGCAAGACCUCUUGCUUUAGGAGCGGCCGAUGUCGGAUUAGCUAGUUGGUGAGGUAAAGGCUCACCAAGGCGACGAUCCGUAGCGGGUCUGAGAGGAUGAUCCGCCACACUGGGACUGAGACACGGCCCAGACUCCUACGGGAGGCAGCAGUGGGGAAUUUUGGACAAUGGGCGCAAGCCUGAUCCAGCCAUGCCGCGUGAGUGAAGAAGGCC